rnacentral:rRNA from 1 species
GACGAACCACACGAACGUUAUUCGGAAUUACUGGGCUUAAAGGGUGCGUAGGCGGCGUAGCAAGUUGGGUGUGAAAUCCCUCGGCUCAACCGAGGAACUGCGCCCAAAACUGCUAUGCUUGAGGAAGAUAGAGGUAAGCGGAACUUACGGUGGAGCGGUGAAAUGCGUAGAUAUCGGAAGGAACACCUGUGGCGAAAGCGGCUUCCUGGUCCAGCACCGACGUUCAGGCACGAAAGCGUGGGGAGCAAACAGG